rnacentral:rRNA from 1 species
UACGUAGGGUGCAAGCGUUGUCCGGAAUUAUUGGGCGUAAAGAGCUCGUAGGCGGUCUGUCGCGUCGGCUGUGAAACCCGGAGCUCAACUCCGGCCUGCAGUCGAUACGGGCAAACUGGAGUACUGCAGGGAGACUGGAAUUCCUGGUGUAGCGGUGAAAUGCGCAGAUAUCAGGAGGGAACACCCGGUGGCGAAGGCGGCAUCCUGGACCAACA